rnacentral:rRNA from 1 species
AUUGAACGCUGGCGGCAUGCCUUACACAUGCAAGUCGAACGGUAACAGGUCUUCGGAUGCUGACGAGUGGCGAACGGGUGAGUAAUACAUCGGAACGUGCCCAGACGUGGGGGUUAACGAGGCGAAAGCUUUGCUAAUACCGCAUACGAUCUAAGGAUGAAAGCAGGGGACCGCAAGGCCUUGUGCGUUUGGAGCGGCCGAUGGCAGAUUAGGUAGUUGGUGGGAUAAAAGCUUACCAAGCCGACGAGCUGUAGCUGGUCUGAGAGGACGACCAGCCACACUGGGACUGAGACACGGCCCAGACUCCUACGGGAGGCAGCAGUGGGGAAUUUUGGACAAUGGGCGAAAGCCUGAUCCAGCAAUGCCGCGUGCAGGAUGAAGGCCUUCGGGUUGUAAACUGCUUUUGUACGGAACGAAAAGGCUCUGGCUAAUACCUGGGGCACAUGACGGUACCGUAAGAAUAAGCACCGGCUAACUACGUG